UGGGCAUUUCAUAACGUCCCCAAUUCGAUGUAGAUUGCCAACCACUAGAAGUUGAUGCCGUUUCCCAGUAUGUAUUUCCAUCAUCAAACAUCGACCCACCGAUGUGCAUGUCCCAUCCAUCGACAGAGUGUUGUACAGGGGUUGUGUAUUCCAUACUGCUACCAAACAUGGGUUGUUCUGUGUUUUGUAACACACUAACCGAGUGUCG
rnacentral:lncRNA from 1 species